AAGAAGUUAGUUUAAAAUAAAACAUUUAUUUGUCAUAUAAAAAAUAUAAUAAAAUUAUAUAUCUUA
rnacentral:tRNA from 1 species